AAUAUUGGUCAAUGGAGGCAACUCUGAACCAGCCAUGCCGCGUGCAGGAUGACGGACCUAUGGAUUGUAAACUGCUUUUGUACAGGAAGAAAAAGAGUUACGUGUAGCUUAUUGACGGUACUGUAAGAAUAAGGAUCGGCUAACUCCGUGCAAGCAGCCGCGGUAAUAAGGAGGGACCAAGCGUUAUCCGGAAUAGUUGGGUUUACGGGGUCCGUAGGCGGCCUUAUAAGUCAGCGGUGAAAGUUUUGGGCUUAACCAAAAAAUUGCCGUUGAUACUGUAGGGCGUGAAUUUUUGUGAAGUAACUAGAAUAUGUAGUGUAGCGGUGAAAUGCUUAGAUAUUACAUGGAAUACCGAUGGCGAAGGCAGCCCCCUGGGAUAAUACUGACGCUCAGACACGAAAGCGUGGGGAGCAAACAG
rnacentral:rRNA from 1 species